rnacentral:lncRNA from 1 species
GUUUACGGCCCGACUGCGCAGGCGUGCUCACCUGGAGCGCUCCGCCCGGCUGGGCGCCCGCAGGCCCCUCCCCCGGGCGCGGUCUCAAGGCGGCCCAGUGGCCGUGCAGGUGAGGCGGCCUCCGGCCGGGGGUCGGGCUAGCUCUGCCACCGACUCCGCCUCCGUCUCCGCCUCCCUGCUACCCCCGGGGCAGAACCCGUAAACCGAAGCCGCGGCAGGUUUACAGUCUGCAUCGCAGAGAUGAGAGCCCUUCAGGUCGGGCCCACCUGUCUCACCAGCCUCUCUGGACUCAGCCUCCUGGGUUUGUCCACAACAGCCUCUGUCAGUGCUGCUCAGGGCGCCGGUCGGCACAGAGGCGAGGCAGAACGGAAGUCCUCUGCAUUGCAGCGCACGCUGUCGAGAUGAUUCCACGGCUCUGUUGUGUUUGUGUUGCCAUCGGGGCUCUCGUUCAUUGGCGCCCAGAGAAAGUCCGGACUGUUCCCUGGGUGUUGGAUGCCUGUGUCCGGAUCCAGCGCUCGUCUCCCUGCUCUCGGCUCCUCUGGUUCCCUGUGCUCCGUGCCCCUGCGUCCUCGGGCUUCCGCUGGAGAUGAGGCCGAGGCCGAGAGUUCUAUGAGAUCAGCAACCAUUCCUGUUGUUUAUAUUGCUAACGGCACGUGGACCGCGGCUUGACAUGGCUAUUCUGAACAUUUCUCCUAAGUUAACCGGCCGUCCAGCCCACCUGGCAGCACCACAGAAUGGCAAAACAGUGUCUUUAUCUUUCUCAUUCAUCACCUUGUCUGCCUCUUCUCUCAUUGCACCUCCUGGGGGCCCACUACAUACCCUAGCAAUGCCUAGGAGGGUACCGGGUCCGCGCCCGGAGUGCACGUGACGAAUGACCACAGUACAGGGCUACCGCAUGUACAUGAAGAAGCGCCAUGGGAGGAAAGAGGAGGGAGACAGUACCCAUCCCGUGGCUCCCCGAGGAGGUGGCUCCAGAGACAACCUUCAGCACCUGUUCACAGAGAUAGAACACAGAAUGAAGGAACGAGACAAGAAAGCCAGAGGAGGGAGCAGUGAACCGAGUGUCGGGUGGCAGGAAGCAGACGGACAGGCAGCAGCGGGCCUUCCCUUAGUCUUCCGUGCAGUCACAGCCCCCAGCUGGGGCCCUGUCCAGCGCCCUUGGGAAUUCGAAUGA